rnacentral:piRNA from 1 species
AUCUAGUAUAUUAAGAGAUUA